UACAGAGGUCCCAAGCGUUGUUCGGAUUUAUUGGGCGUAAAGAGCUCGUAGGCUGUUCGAUAAGUCGGGUGUGAAACCUCCAGGCUCAACCUGGAGACGCCACCCGAUACUGUCAUGACUAGAGUCCGGUAGGGGAGCGUGGAAUUCCUGGUGUAGCGGUGAAAUGCGCAGAUAUCGAGGAGGAACACCAGCGGCGAAGGCGGCGCCUCGUCGGGCCGGUACUGACGCUGAGGAGCGAAAGCGUGGGUAGCAAACAGG
rnacentral:rRNA from 1 species